rnacentral:rRNA from 1 species
UACGAAGGGAGCUAGCGUUGUUCGGAAUCACUGGGCGUAAAGCGCACGUAGGCGGAUGUGUCAGUCAGGGGUGAAAUCCCGGAGCCCAACUUCGGAACUGCCUUUGAUACAGCACGUCUUGAGUCCGAUAGAGGUGGGUGGAAUUCCUAGUGUAGAGGUGAAAUUCGUAGAUAUUAGGAAGAACACCGGUGGCGAAGGCGUCCCACUGGAUCGGUACUGACGCUGAGGUGCGAAAGCGUGGGGAGCAAACAGG